GCCGGGCUUGUAAUGAGGUCCUGUUGGGGGCUGGCAGCAAGCUGUUACUUGCCUAUACAGAAGCUCCUGUCAGCUUCCUUCUCCUCCGUGCUGUCUCGCGGGAGCCGCGGUGUCAGAGCGUUGCCCCGGGUUACCGUGGCAACUCUCCGCGCGGCACUCAGGCCGGGAGAUUUACACUGGAGCUGAACGGCACGGAGGAGAAGGGAGCUGACAGGAGCUGCUGUAAAGGUAAGUAACAGCUUGCUC